UGUCGUGUUUAUAAGUAGACAUUGUCCGGCUUGUUGUUCAUCAAGUCGAACAUAAUCUGCUUACAACCGUGACGAGAUGCAGUGCGCGGCG